ACAGUACUCAUGUAGAGCCUGUUACCUUGACAGCUGGGGAAAGUCUCAAAAUGGGCCUGCUGUGGCUUCUCCAUGGCCCUUUGGUGGUGAUUAACAAGUGCUGUUGAAAGAAUUGAGGUGUCGGAGCUUUUGGUGCAGGCGGGGCUUUUGGUGCGGGCUGGAUUUUUGGUAAUUUUCAGAUUCUGAGAUGUCAGAAGUGUAGCAUGCCCUUUUCCAUUUUUUGGAAAUGUUGUCAAAUGAUGCUGGAAUUAUCAAAAAUUCUGGCCUGAUGCUUGGUCCAACCCUUAUCUGGCUGUGGUGCCUCCAUCAACCUGACGCUCUUUAGUAACCGGUCCAAGUCUUUGUAUGGAGGCCACCAUGAGUGGCCAUCUG